CGCCCAGAGGACUGCGGAAAACUUCCCAAACUUAUAGAAGGGGGGAGGGCAAUAAGUAAAUCUCCCUUGGGUGCUAGAGACAUCAGGUCUUCUGGUGACCUUCUCCAGCCCCAGGGGUCUCGGCACCCCGGGCCAGCAGCCCCCUCUGCCCUUAUUGAUGUCUUUAGCAAUGGGAUUUAUGGAGCAUCACAAACCUGGAAGCACAGAGGUGUGACGAGGCCCAGCGAGAGGGACGAUGGCUCAGGCGCCUUUGAGCUGCUUGCUGCAGUCACACGCCAUGAGCUGCACAUUUACCGGAGGAGUGAUGGUGCCCCGUUAUCCCCGUUAUAGACCACAUUGCCCCCCUCCAUGCGGGGAGCUGGCUCCUGGAGCCAGGAAUGAGGGGGGCUGCACCCCCAUCACACACCCCGUCCCCCCAACUAGCACCGACCAGCAGGGAGGGGAGACUAUUAAAAACUGCACCUGGACACCAUUGGUAUUAGUGGUGCCUUAUUUAAGGGUGUUUUGCAUCUUCUUUCAAGAGCCGCCAUAAUCAGCUUUAAAUAGAAAUGAGAUAAAGAAGCACAAGGUGAAAUAAUCUAAAGAACUGACAUGUGAGAGGAGCUCAACUCCCACUUUCGGCAGCGGCUCGGGCAGCCCGAUCAUUAAGUCCUAUUGAAUUGAUGAGCCCCGAAGUCCCAGGAGAUGAUUUUUUUUAAAAGCAUUUACCCACGUGAAGCCGGAGAGCGUGGCCUUUUGUAAAUCAGCCAGGACCACAUCUUGGUUUGAAAACAGCCCUAAGCAGCUCAUUACAUGUUUAACACUCCAAAGAUCUUUUAAAAAAAAAUCAGCCUAAGCACGCUUGAGCGGUUCCCGUUUAAUCUCUGCCUCUCGGUAAACACCGUGUGUGGGGGGGGUGUCACUGUGCACACACGGGUCCCCCCAGCCGCUGGCCUGCUGCGGCAGCUGGGUGUGCGUCCGUGAGCUGCUGGCACGCCGGCGCGGUAAGCAAAGCUUUGCGAAAUGAAAGUGAAAUGAAAUAAAUAAAUCCUACCAUGAGUCUCCUGUGAGCCGGCUUUAAAAUUAGCAGGGUUUAGAC